UCCAGUAUCCCCCUCUACUCUAGAGAGCAAAUGUGUUAAAUUACUCAAGCAUCCACUUUAAGACGUUUUAAAAAGGAAAUAUAAUUCCCACAGUAAGCAGAAUAGAGAAAAUUAUAGCUAACAGUAAUCAAUUAGACAAAAAGCAGAAAAAUAGGAAAAACCCAAUGAAACCCAAAACUACACAUUCCCGGCCAAUCUGGACAACAGAAUGGAAUCACCAAUCAAUGAGGGAAGCAAGGCAGGUAAAGGGGUCAGGGGUGUGGUUCAGCUGACUGAAUGCUUGCCUCUCUCACUCAGCAUCUUAUAAGCUUGCAGAGGGCACAGUGGGGGCAGCAGGAGAAUCUCAAGUUCAAGGUCGUCUUUGACUACCAUAGUAAGUUCAAGACCAGCCUGGCCUAUAUGAGACUGAGGGGGUGGGGGUGGGGGGCAGAGAAGUGAGAAAGGGAGGGAGAUGGUGAAGAAAGAGAAUGAGGAAUAUAAUGAAUAACUUCACACCGAUAAACAACUCUAAUACUUACAUAGAAAAUGUUUCUUUAAAGACAUAAUUUAUCUAUAGCCACAAUAAGAAAGCAGGUUACUUGGGUUUAUUUGUUGUUGUGUAUUCUUUGCAGUAAUGAGAAGUGACCUCAGGGUCUGAUGCAAGCUAGGCAAGUGCUUGACCACUGAGAGACAGACAGACAGACAGACAGACAGAUCAACAGAGAUAGAUAGAUAGAUAGGUAGAUAGAUAGAUAGAUAGAUAGAUCAACAGAGAUAGGUAGGUAGGUAGGUAGGUAGGUAGGUAGGUAGGUAGGUAGGUAGAUAGAUAGAUAGAUAGAUAGAUAGAUAGAUAGAUAGAUAGAUCAACAGAGAUAGAUAGAUAGGUAGAUAGAUAGAUAGAUAGAUAGAUAGAUAGAUCAACAGAGAUAGAUAGAUAGGUAGAUACAUCAACAGAGACAGAGAUAGAUAGAUAGAUAGAUAGAUAGAUAGAUAGAUAGAUAGAUAGAUAGAUCAACAGAGACAGAGAUAGAUAGAUAGAUAGAUAGAUAGAUAGAUAGAUAGAUAGAUAGAUAGAUAGAUAGAUACAUCAACAGAGACAGAGAUAGAUAGAUAGAUAGAUAGAUAGAUAGAUAGAUAGAUAGAUAGAUAGAUAGAUAGAUAGACAGACAGACAUCCCCAGCUCCUGUUUUUAACUUUUUAUUUUGACUAAGAGUCUUACUAAGUUACUCAAGCUGGUAUAGAACUUGCUCUGUUAUCCAGACGGGUCAUUAAUUCCAUGAUCCUCCCUGCUACUAUUCCCAGAGUCUUAUGCUAUCAACAUAAUAAAAUUUAUAGUUAAAACUCCUCCCACGUGCCAGGUGUGGUGGGAUACAGCUUUACAUAAAUAAUCUCAAUGUUUAGGAACUUGAGGCAAAAGGAUCUUGGGCCUGAAGCCAUUCUGGGCUACACAGUGAGACUAUGUUGCCAAAGGGGGCAAGAAUCUGACAAGCUGACACUGUUACAGCAUGAGGAGCCUGGACCUCAGCUUUGUGUUAAGUAAGACAAUCAAAAUACACAGGCAAUGCCCGCUUUCGAUUAGUGAGGUAUGUAGCACAGUCUAGCUCAGAAGCAGAAGACAGAGCGGUCACUAGUGGCAAGGGAACAAGAGAAAGAAAUAGGAAGUUGUUUAAUAGAGAAAUUCAGUUUUGCAAGAUGAAAAGGUUCUGAUGAUGAUAGUGUUGGCUAUACAAAAUUAUUAGUGAACUUUAAAACACUGAACCAGGCAAGUAUAGGAAAUAGUUUAGCAACUUGGGAUUCAAAUGGGCUUGGGAUACUCUGUCUCUGUCUCUGUCUCUGUCUCUGUCUCUGUCUCUGCCUCUGCCUCUGCCUCUGCCUCUGCCUCUCUGCCUCUCUGCCUCUCUGCCUCUCUGCCUCUCUGCCUCUCUCUGCCUCUCUCUGCCUCUCUCUGCCUCUCUCUGCCUCUGCCUCUGCCUCUGCCCCUCUGCCCCUCUGCCCCUCUGCCUCUCUGCCUCUCUCUGCCUCUCUGCCUCUCUUUCUGCCUCUCUGCCUCUGCCCUUCUGUCUCUCUCUGUGUGUCUCUCUUUCUCUAUCUCUGUCUCUCUCUCUCUGUGUCUGUCUCUCUGUCUCUGUCUUUCUCUUUACACACACACACACACACACACACACACACACACACACACACACUUCUUCAAACAAGGUACUCAGAAACCUGUUAGUAACCUAGGACCCCACCUGCACGGAGCUUCAUGCAGACCUCACUCCUCCCUUUAACAACCAUCAAACUUAAGAGUCUAUCCAGACAUACUCCCAGUGCAUUUGGAGACUACCGACAACGGGACAAUCCAGCCUGACUGGUUUUAGGUGCCUGCAUAUUACAACAAAACUGUGUUCCCAAGUGAACUUUUGGGAACAAUCCUGAUUUACCACCUUGUGCCUGUGCAUAAGUGGCUCUUUAUGCACAUGGUUGAAAGCAGGUGCCUUACAAGAAAGAGCAUUCAUUGUGAGCAAAGGCUGUCUAUCAAAUGCAGAACCACCCAAACUAUGCCCCUAGGAACCAAACUCCUUAUUCUCUUGAACCCCAUAAAAGAAAGUCCCUAAAUAAUAACUGGAGCUCUCGAGUUCUUCACUCAGUAGCCCACUGUUUUGCUUUGAAUCUUGCUUUGAAUCAAAAGUUUGCAAUUUUUGCAAAUCAGUGUGAGCUCGUCUUUCAGUUCUUUGCAUGAGAGGCCAAAGACCUAGAAACACCUGGUUCAGACUCUGGGCUGGCAACAAUAGUAGUAACAUAAUAAGGUUUAUAUAAUUUUUAUAUUUGAUCACUAUAAGGUUUUUUUUGGUAAGUCAAGGAUAUUUCUAUAUAUCAAGAACAAACAUCUGGA
rnacentral:lncRNA from 1 species